rnacentral:rRNA from 1 species
AUGGGACACGAGUUGGCCACAGGACUCAAGGCGCCGUCGUUUCUCAUGCCCUAUUCUUUCUCGUCGGAGCCCGAAACCCGUUUGUGUGCCUGUGGAUGUCAGGUCAAUCUGGGACGAGUUGGCGACAUCCACCAUGACGCGGUUGCGGCGUCCGGACUGGUGCACCGUACGGGGCACCGGAGAAUGCGACUCCGCCUCGCCGACGUCCACCGCUGCGAGCGUUGCCGUCGCGUCCCGGCCCCGUUGCCACACACGGCGAGCACGACACGCCAUGUUUGCGUCGGACGACGCCCACAGUGCGUCCAUGGCCUCGGCGCGCCAACGGAGGGGUUUCAUGUCCACUACCGCGUUCGAACGCCGGACGGACCGCAUCGCCUCCGGUGA